rfam:Haemonchus placei strain MHpl1 genome assembly, scaffold: HPLM_scaffold0000424
GGCCCAAUUCUGAAGUAGUGCAGAUUAAUAGGAUCGGCUGACCAUACUAAUCUACUCUACUUCGAGUUUGUGCCC